AUUGAACGCUGGCGGCAUGCCUUACACACGCAAGUCGAACGGCAGCACGGACUUCGGUCUGGUGGCGAGUGGCGAACGGGUGAGUAAUGCAUCGGAACGUGCCAUUGAGUGGGGGAUAACGUAGCGAAAGUUGCGCUAAUACCGCAUAUUCUGUGAGCAGGAAAGCAGGGGACCGCAAGGCCUUGCGCUCUUUGAGCGGCCGAUGUCAGAUUAGCUAGUUGGUGAGGUAAAGGCUUACCAAGGCGACGAUCUGUAGCGGGUCUGAGAGGAUGAUCCGCCACACUGGAACUGAGACACGGUCCAGACUCCUACGGGAGGCAGCGGUGGGGAAUUUUGGACAAUGGGGGCAACCCUGAUCCAGCCAUGCCGCGUGAGUGAAGAAGGCC
rnacentral:rRNA from 1 species